AAGUAUAGAAAAUUGGCCUGUCCGUGACUGUGGGUGAGAUUCGGCGCCCAGAGUCACCGGGGACCUCAGCUCACUGCCCACUUGGUGUAGGGAGGUGAAACCCAGGUCCCGACACAU